UAGUUCUCAUGCUAGUGCAGUAGUUUUACUGGGAAUCUAAUGUUAUCAGCUAAAUAUGCUUCAUUUUUCUUUCUACUUGAAUUCCAAUUUAAGCAUGCUUAUGAAUUCAAUAGGCUUGUGUAAUUCAUCCAUGGCUGCAGUCCAUCAGUUCUCAAUCCAUCAUUAUCUUGAUUGAAACAUUAUCUACAGAGUUGGCAGUGCUCUACAUCAUAAUCAUGCACAUUUAAUUUGUUUCCACAAAAAAUUGCAAUCUUCUAUAGCAUGGUGGUAGAAGUUCAAGAACAAAAUAUGAACACUUGAAUAUAUGUAGUAUAAACUCGACUUUUGCAUCACUCACUCGUAUGCUGUAUUUCAUGUUUCUUUCAUUUUCUAGGUCCGUUCAAACACCUUAGGAGCUGUUGGAUUCCUCGGGGACAGCAGGCGAAUGAAUGUUGCCAUCACAAGAGCACGAAAACAUGUAGCAGUCGUCUGUGAUAGCUCAACAAUAUGCCACAACACUUUCCUGGCCAGGCUCUUGCGCCACAUCCGCUAUUUUGGUAGGGUGAAGCAUGCUGAGCCUGGUAGUUUUGGGGGAUCUGGACUUGGUAUGGAUCCAAUGUUACCAUCAAUUAGUUGAGUACAUAUCACACAUUUGAUUUGGAUUUGGUAUGCUCCAACUGGAAAUUGAUUUGGAGGAGAACUUAACACAGAUGCUUGGUUUCUUU
rnacentral:lncRNA from 1 species